AAGAGAUAUGUCCUUCUGUUUUCCAUCACUAAGUUUAACUAGCUAAUAUUAAUUAAAUUAUUUCCAUCAUUUUCUGCACUUCUUGCACUUGGAAUAGGCCCUUGACUAAUUCUUACCUUCACAUUCAUCAUCUUUGAAGGAUCAUGCUUUCCUGAGAAAGAAGAUGCAUUUCUUUGCUGCAGUUUGAGUGUUACCCUCCCUUCUCUCCUGUUUUUCAGUGAAGACUACUUAUCACUGAUAUUAUAGCUUGAGACAUAGAAAGAUAUUUUUGCUGUUUCUGUUCAAAUGAGACAACUGGAUCUUCCACAGGGAGGUGGGGAGACAGACCCCUCUCUUGAUAACAACCUGUUCAUGUGUCCUGAACAAGACUCUGACAUCACCAUACCUGCAAAUGUGUCCUGCAGUUCAGUGAACACAGACAUGGGUGAGAAUUUCAGUAAGUCCUGCUGGCAGCAAGUUAAAUGAACCAAGCAAAACCUACCAGCCCUGCAGAUAGGAAGAUCUACUUUCUCCUGUAAUGAAAGUACCACUAAUAUCUCCACUAAGCAGAAUGUGAUUUUCUACUAGUAAUCUGAUGGUCCAUUCCAGGAGAACAUUUUAUGACUGUAUAUUUUAAAUCUUGAUCAGUGGGAAAGCCCAAGUCUUGGCACAAAUAUAAACAGUGACAAUAAAUUAGACACAAGCAGGGUGCAACUUCUCCAGAUCCCAAGCUCAAAUUUACAAGCUGUUUGCUGAGGCUUUGUGACUAAUGGCAGCAUAAAAUAUUUUAGUCAACUGGCAAAGUGAGAACUCAGAAUGAUUGAGAAGUUCUUAACUGGCUGCUCUGAUUAACAGUGGGUAAAUUACUAUCAAUGCUGGUAAUAAAUGCCAUUAGCAGUAAUUCACUGAAAACCCGUCCAUAAGCUCCAAUCAUGUCAAAGUUCAGCUAAAAACAACUGACCAGUCUUGGCAAGUUCCAAGCUUUGUUUACUUCCCCAUGACUGCUUGAAGAUGUUGCAGGAUGCAGUGGGCUGUGCACACUUGUGCCUUGAAAAGGAUUGGAAUGGCUUUCUUAUCCACUAUGACUCUUUCCUUUAGCUGGGAUGACAACUGAAACAUGUUGAUGCUUGAAAGCAAGCAAUGCUCCUCUGCUGCCUCCAGUAAGGUCAGAGUGGCAGGACCUGGAGACCCAACACUACAGCAAAAUUCAGUGCUCUGCUGUGAACUUCAGGAGAAAACCAACAUGAAGUCUGGCAGAAUUUUGGAUCUCCAAAGGAGUUACCCUCUCCUGCUCCCUGCCUGCCCUCCCUCCUCCCUGCCUUCUGCCACGGAACACCUUCUUUAUUUGCCCCAGAGUAACAAUAUACAAUUUUGUCAAUCUCUACCAACUCCACACAGCAAACUGGCACUGAACAGAUUCAUCCUAUGGCUCCUGACUAACAUGUCCUUAUGUGAAGCACAAAGGCAAUGGUAUUAUGUAUUAUUGCAAUGAGGAGAGUCAUUAUUCCCAUAAGUUACAGUGAGGGAGUAUGCAGUAAAUUUGCCCCUUUAUAAUAUUUAUAAAUAUUAUAUUUAACAAUCUAUAGUGACAUAAGCUAUUACAGAGGUCACUACACAGCUUCUUUACUGGGACCUCGAGUAUUUGCUUCAAAUAAUUCUAUCAUACUCUCUCACAGCAACAUGACUAAAAGCUAUUGCCUUUUCACAUGCAUACAAAUUUGUGAUGAAUUUCAUAAAAUUGUGUUGCUUCAGCUCAGUAUGUCUGGUACUGAACUUGAAUUACAAAAUGCAAGCCUCUCUGCUUUCCUAGUCUUGGGCAUUUCUAGCACAUAUUUUGCCAUAUGAUUUGAUAUUGUUCUGAUUUUUGGUGUUUUGAGAUGCAUGUGGGCCAGAUACAUUGUACUUGACUCACUGAGUAAUCCAAAAUCACUGAGAAGGGAACAUAGCACAAGGCACACAAAGGUUAUGUGACCUUUUCCUCAGGGAACAAAGCUGUGGCCAAGACGAGGAUUUGUCCAAAUGCAGCUUCCCCACAAGAAAUGAGGUGAUCAUUUGCUUAAUCAACCUAAUGAGCCACUGGCUGUUCAUAGCCACACACAGAUAGACAUUCCUGCUGCCGUGGCUUUAGUGAAGCAGCACAUGAAACACCAGGCAUUUGAGCUGAAUUUGAUGCCCUUCCAUUUCUGGAACUGGCAGAAUAUUGGUCUUUCAGAAUAUUCAAAUAUUGAAUAGCAAUGAGCUGUCAGCUAAAGCUUCAGGAUAACAGUAACAAGAAGUCAGCCUGGACAAGGAAGAUUUGUUUCACAGACAUGAGAUGGAAGGAUACUGUCAGCACCCCACAUAAAUGGUGAAACAAGAGCAGGGGGAAUACUUAAAGAAGCACAUGCAACAUUGGAAAAAUAACAUAGUAAUUAUUUUAACCUAUUAGGUGUUCAUUCCAACAAAAGUAAAUUGGAUUUUUAUUCCCAUACUGGUAGUAAUGUAUUCAUCCAUGUUCAUUGUAUUUCCUAUUUUCAUUAGAGAGGAACCAGUGUGCAUUCAAGUAAUUACAAAAAAACUUCAGGCUCCUAAAAUAUGCUUAUCUCUCAAGAAGCUGCUGUUAAAUGGCUUAAUCUAAGUAUGCUAUACAUAAGAGAAAUGCAAUACAUUCUUAAUUUUAUAGUUUGCCAUGUGAAACAUUUUAAUAAGACAUUUUCAUUAAAUUUUACUGUUUCUGCUAUCUAGAAUAAGUGUUCAGAUAUGAGACAUCUGAUCUGCUCCUCAGAGCUUAGUGACAAAAAAAUAUUUAGGAGGUUUUUUUAAAGGUUUUUAAAGGAUAUUUUUAAAAGAUAUCUGAUGCUCCAGUUUCCUCCUCUCCCAAAAUCUCAUUCUUUAGAGGAACAUCCAUAUCUCUCUCAUAUUUACACAUCCUUUUCCCUGUCUCAUUUAUCAGCCCUCAAACCUUUAAUGAACUUUCCUCCUCCACAUAGCAAGCUGCCUCACAUUGGCUCACAUCUUUUCAGCCACAAAGGCUUUUUGUGUGAGUAGUCAAAUUUCUUAGUCCCUGCUCCCAAACAAUUUGGAAAGCACAUUUGGAUUCACUGGGGCCCAGUCAUGGUGUCAGAUGAUUUCAUGAAAAAGAGCUGCACUUUCAUGGUGUGUAAGUCUGCCUCAGUGUUUACACAAGUUACUACUGUAUUUCAAUGAUCAGUUGUAGCUAAGAAAUGGCAGCAAACCAUUUGCUGCCGAUGCAGAUCAGCUGGCUCAUUUGUUGGUUGUAAAAGAUCCAGAGUGGUUGUGUGUGUUUGCUGGUUUGAUUAUGGGGAGGGGGUUAUGUUGUUUAAAAUACCCUUUUGUUUACUUAAAAGCUAUGGUGAAGCAUAAAAGAAAUAAUAGCUAAGAACUUCUAGUUCUGCAGAGAAAUAAGCUGUUGCAACAGAGGUUUUGCUGGAAUAAGACUUUCCCAUAAGGGUUGCUUCUAGGUUUCUGACAUCCUCCAUGCAAAUGUGAAGUGAAAUUGUCAUACAGUGUCAGUGCAGUAGUCACAGAACUGCAUGGCCAAAUGAAGAUCUCAUGGCCCAAUCAGUGUUUUGUCAUGGGAAGUCAUUAGGUAGACAUGGGGAGAGAGGUUAGAGAAGGCUGGAGCCUUGCCUGCUUCUGCUGUAGAGAGCUGUAAGCCCAAGAGCAACAUUAAUUUGGGUUGCUUCAGUUGUCAUUUAGAACCUCUUUUAUAGGCUGUCUCUCUUCUACAAGACAUUAAAUAAGAGUUUGUGUUUAGAGCAGUAGGUGGAUUUACUUUGGAUUCCUUCAAUAUAUAGGGUACAAAAAUAUGUUGUGGCUAUAAGGUAGAUUUCUGGGGCAUUUCUAAAAAUUAGAACCAGGUCUGCUUCCAAGAGGGUAUUAUGUUUGAACUUAAAAGGUUUUCUUAAUCCCUCUGUAAAUGCAGUUUAAUGGAAGAAAAAGAGAGAAGAGCUGAAUGGAAUGCAUAAAGUUUAUGGUGCCUGCUUACAUCUAAUGCCAUUUGGGAGAAUGCUAAUAUGGUUAUUAGAAUAAGUUCCUAUACUGGGUCAGUAAAAUUUUCAAAUGCUUCAUUUAAGUUUCUCAUUUUUCUGGGAUUUUUCUCGAGGAAAAAAAAUGGAAGAGGAAGAGGACAUUUGAUAGCAUGACUCUUGGAUGUAAGAAUAUUUAAGUUUCAGCCUCUUCAAUUUUAUGGUCUUCUCAGUAAUUAUAAUCCAUGAAAUGUGAAGGACCAGACUUGAGGUGUCAUUGUUUAAAAUAAAAGGAAAAAUAGAUUUAUUUUACUUAUGCAUUCCUAUGCUACUCUGUUCUGCUAAUGUAUGAGAGCAAAGUUAAUUGCAUAGGCUGGGAAAUGGAUUGCUUGGACCGACUGAAGUUAAAAUUAGAACUUUAACUCUUCAUUGCCCUGUGUAUUUCAUGUUUAGUUACUCUUAAACCAAGUGGGUGUAAAAUGUCACUGCUGCCAUCAUGUAUACUGAUUAGGCACACAAAAUACAAAUUAUUUUGGGAUAGUUGCAAGGACCAAAGGAUGUUUUAUGCUCAGGUCCUAUUAACAUAUAUACGCAUGUUUGUUUUAUGUAUAUUACUUAAAAUAUUACCAUGCCCUCUUGUGUGAAAUGCUUUCAAGAAAUUAACUGAGCUGAGGAAGUAACAAGAACUCAGGUAUAGGUAUUUUUAAAAUCAAAAGAUAAAACUGUUGUAAGUAAGGCAAUGUUCUGCAAAGCCUCACAUUUUCUCUCUUAAAACUAUCUACUUUGAAAAGAGGUUCCUGCUAGGUUGUUUGCCUAAAAAGCAAAGCUAAGAAAGAAAUUUGCAGAAGUAAAGUAAUCCUUUAACAUGCUUCUCUUGCUGUGCUUAAAAACGCAGGUAACAAUCUCACCCCUCAGAUAACGUCCAUAGUAAUGUAAAUACAAAAUCUACCCCAAAAAGAGAGCUGAAGCAUGAAUAUGUGAAUGCUCCUACUUAUCUCUCAUGUACAGCCAUCAUGGUCUUUUAUUUCAUGCUCAGCUAAUACAAAUCUGCAUAUCAAAGAAAGUAAUAAAACUUCAUAAACCACAGAAGUUGCUUUAUUUAAAAUUAACACAGUUGCUUUUUUUAUAUAGUUUCAAGUUAAUCUAUUAAAACCACAUAGAAUGACCUCUUACAAAGAGAGCAAUUACUUGAAAGAGUAACUUACCAUGACAAUGCACGGCUGUACACACUUUGGAGAAGUGUCACUUUUUGAGGCAGAAAGAAUGUAUCAUAUCAAAACAGCUAUUAUCAAAUAAUCUGCAAUGGACCUCUUAACAUGGAAAAAGAGAGAGAAAACUUCCCACUUGCUUUUUCACAGCAUCUGGUUUGCAGGGUUUGGAUGCAGUCUGGCCUCCCAUCCCCUAGUGUGAAUAUUCUUUUCUUUUGUAAAACCUGCCCAGACCAUCUACAGCCUUUGGCAAUCUGGUCAGAAAAAAUUAUAUUCAGACAAAAAAAGGUGCCAUAUUUGCAUCACGUGGAUCCUUUUUUUCAAAAUCUAAGCCUUUAACCUCUUCAUGUAAUACCUUAGGAGGCAGAGUGAUAUGGAAGGAAAUAAAUAAGCAACUCCACUUGACACUGAAGUCCAACUCUCACGCUCCUUGAUUCCUCAUCCUGUUUUUCACAUGUUCAGUGUAGUAAUCUGCAAGCCUCCUAAGUGGGAGUGAAAUACUACUAAAUUAAAUUUCCCUCUUCAUUUUCCCUGCUUGCUGUUUCCAUAUCUCCUUUACAAAUGUAGAAUUCACUGCACAGGAGAUACUUCAUACCAACAUGUCAGUGGUGAUUUCUGAGCUGCUAGGCCUUUCCUGAGUUUCUAUAUUUGCCUGCUGGACCUUGUUCUGUUGCCCCCCUCCAGAAAAGGAAGCUCUCAGUGAAGCUGGUUGUCUGUUCCUGUUUACUUCACAUUGCUUCAGAGGUUUUGCAUUUUUCUCACUGUUGAAAGGGGUAUAACUCUUUCAAAGGCCAUGUGGGACGGACUUGGUGGCUUCUCUGAGUUUUGUUUGAAGAACUAAGACCCAUAAGCAUUAUGGUACUUGAUUAACUGUCUAGCACAUUUUCCACUCUGUGUUUCUGUACGUACACUCUGCUCUCUGGAUGGUAGUCAUAGGGGGCAUUGGUGCUCUGAAUGAGGAAGAACUGCUGUUCAGGGAGGUUUUAAACACUCAUCUGGAAGCCGCUGAUGGCCAACUCCUUACUCAGAUGACAAACAAGGAAAAUAGGAAUUCUUCCAGGACAACAGCAAAUGAGGGUUAUCACUAACAUGUUCAGAGCCAUCCUAAGGGCCAUCCACCAGGACUGAGGUCUUGGGCUGCCCUGAUUCCAAAACAACACUCAGAAGAUCUUUAGCUGCUACAGGAUUUCUGUGUGGGAUCACAGCUGACAGAUGUGAGGCACAAAGGAAGGAACAGCAAAUAUGCAGCAAGCCCAGACACAGUCCAUAUAUGUGCAUUGUGCCAAGAGCCUCCCUGUGACACCCCUGCCACUGCUCGAAGGAGACCUGCACGCCCUGAUAUGUCAUGCUGUCCAAUCAAAUGUGGAUGUACAAGCAUUUUUUUGCUAAAGGAAGAAAAUAAUGGAAACAUACCUUACUUGUCUUGAAUUCCUAUUUCAGUCCAUGCAUAUGUGUAUAGCAAUAAAUAAACAAAAUCUGAGAAGCUUUGCAUGUAAUAUCCCA